rnacentral:lncRNA from 1 species
UAGAAAUUACAAAUGACUAGGCCCCCAAGACUUGGUUAGCUAGGUGAUCUGUCAUCGUCGAAAGCAACAUUAGUUUUACAAAAGUUCAACUUGACGUACAGUUGUUGCUAUUUUAUUGUUAUCUGAUACAUAUAGACCUGUUCGGCAGCAGUUUUUUAGAUGUCGAUGAUGAUGCAUUGAUGCUUUCGAUCUGUCUCCCACAUAAUGCUAGCAACCCCUAUACUUUCAUAAGCAGCCAAACAGGCCAUACUAGACUACUGCUGGCACUAACCCAAGCUAAGGUUAUAUAAAUAAUGGGCCCAAUGCAAAGCCCAGUUGGUGGAUAUUCCUAUAUGCAUGAACGCAUCAAACAAAACAUGCACAUGGAGGCACCUAAUGCUUCAAAACAAAACAAAUCACUCACACUCAGCCAUUGGGUUAGGUGGAGACUUGUAUGGUACUGAUCUUUGAGGAAAACAGCACAAGGUUUUUUUUGAUGAAAACAGGAGAGGCUUGAGCCCCUACUGAAAUUAAUAGAAACAAAAAAUAGCGGGCUAAUCUAGAUUUUGCAGGGGAAAAAACGAGAACAGAGAAGGAGAAAGAAUAGUAGGGAACAUGGAAACUAAGAAAAAAAAAUAAAAGAAAGAUAAGGAAAAGGCAGGCUAAUCUAGAUUUUGCAGGCGUUCUUGAAUUUCUAGGAAGUAUGAGGUUUUAAAUAGCGGGCUAAGGUGUUUAGCGGCUUAUGUCUAAAACAGCUAAUAAUGGAGCUAAAUCAGGCUAUAGCGGGAUAUAGCGGUUAAAUUAUACAUGAAUACAAAUAGCGGUAUCCUGCCUCAAAAGGCUAUAGCGGGCUAUAGCGGCAGCUAUAGCGGGAGAUUUAAAACUAUGAAAGUAUCACUUGUUUGCUCGCC